rnacentral:rRNA from 1 species
AGAGCGAACGCUGGCGGCAGGCCUAACACAUGCAAGUCGAGCGCGUGUAGCAAUACACGAGCGGCAGACGGGAGAGUAACACGUGGGAACGCGCCCUUCGGUUCGGAAUAACUCAGGGAAACUUGAGCUAAUACCGGAUACGCCCUUACGGGGAAAGAUUUAUUGCCGAAGGAACGGCCCGCGUCCGAUUAGCUAGUUGGUGAGGUAACGGCUCACCAGGGCGACGAUCGGUAGCUGGUCUGAGAGGAUGACCAGCCUCACUGGGACUGAGACACGGCCCAGACUCCUACGGGAGGCAGCAGUGGGGAAUAUUGGACAAUGGGCGCAAGCCUGAUCCAGCCAUGCCGCGUGGAUGAUGAAGGCCUUAGGGUUGUAAAGUCCUUUUAACGGGAAGAUAAUGACGGUACCGUAGAAUAAGCCCCGGCUAACUUCGCGCCAGCAGCCGC